UUCCUGUGUGGAACCUGGAAUUCAAACGGCUGGGGCCUCACUCACGGCAUAUGGAACUAACCACGCCCCUAACUAAGAAGGCACACCUUAGUUGCAGUUAGCACACAAUUAAAGCAACUCUCCAAGUUUUACCUUAAAGUUCAAAAUUGCUAGGAGUUGAAACUACUAGAAAUAUAUUUACAUGCAAGAGUCAAAGAAACUUUGAACUAUUUAUGGCCUUUAAUAAUUAAGUAAGGUAUACUCCUGUGAUCAAGACUUGGAGCAUAUUUGUUUCUCUCUGCCUGGUUCCUCUAGAAAUUGGAAACUAUCAGAACAGAGACCAACUCCGUUUCCCGAUCCCUUUGCAAUCUGCAUUGAACCAUGAGUCAAGUUCUUGAUAAAGGAGUGAAAAUGGAUGACAUUUAAGGCACAUCUGAAGAUGGGGAAACCACAGCACAGAAUAAGGCUGGGCCCUUGAAUCAAUAAAUGAAGGAGAACUACUCAAGAGAACAAAACCACCAGCAAUAUCCACCUGUAUUUGUCUUUUCAUAAUGUGUGACACAUGUGCUCAUGGAUUAUUGUCCGAAGCAAGACAUGUGACCAAGCCUAACAUCAACUGGGUGAAGAGCUAUAUGUUCCUUUCUCAAGAGGCACUACAAGUGACAUGCCACUGGGCAGGAUUAUCCUUUCUACUCUCCUACUUUCUGAACUACUUUUCUCCCUCUGUAAGUCUUAAAGAAGUUCAAUGAGCUAUAAGUGAACUCAGGUAGACAACUCAACAAAAUCAAGAAGACAAUACAUGAACAAAAUGAUACUUUGAAUAAAUAAAUAUAAACCAUAAAAAA
rnacentral:lncRNA from 1 species